rnacentral:rRNA from 1 species
UACGUAGGGUGCGAGCGUUGUCCGGAAUUACUGGGCGUAAAGGGUGCGUAGGUGGCGCCGUAAGUCAGGUGUGAAAUUUCGGAGCUUAACUCCGAAACUGCAUUUGAUACUGCGGUGCUUGAGGACUGGAGAGGAGACUGGAAUUUACGGUGUAGCAGUGAAAUGCGUAGAGAUCGUAAGGAAGACCAGUGGCGAAGGCGGGUCUCUGGACAGUUCCUGACACUGAGGCACGAAGGCCAGGGGAGCAAACAGG